rnacentral:rRNA from 1 species
UACGUAGGGUGCGAGCGUUGUCCGGAAUUAUUGGGCGUAAAGAGCUUGUAGGCGGUUUGUCGCGUCUGCUGUGAAAUCUCAAGGCUCAACCUUGAGCUUGCAGUGGGUACGGGCAGACUAGAGUGUGGUAGGGGAGACUGGAAUUCCAGGUGUAGCGGUGAAAUGCGUAGAUAUCUGGAGGAACACCGGUGGCGAAGGCGGCAUCCUGGACCGAGAUCGACGCUGAGGCGCGAAAGCUAGGGGAGCAAACGGG